rnacentral:rRNA from 1 species
CCUACGGGUGGCAGCAGUGGGGAAUAUUGGACAAUGGGCGAAAGCCUGAUCCAGCAAUGCCGCGUGUGUGAAGAAGGCCUUCGGGUUGUAAAGCACUUUAAGUUGGGAGGCGUUACCAACAGAAUAAGCACCGGCUAACUCCGUGCCAGCAGCCGCGGUAAUACGGAGGGUGCAAGCGUUAAUCGGCAUUACUGGGCGUAAAGCGCGCGUAGGCGGUUUAUUAAGUCAGAUGUGAAAGCCCCGGGCUCAACCUGGGAACUGCAUUUGAGACUGGUAGGCUAGAGUAUGGUAGAGGUGAGUGGAAUUUCAGGUGUAGCGUGAAAUGCGUAGAGAUCUGAAGGAACAUCAGUGGCGAAGGCGACUCACUGGGCCAUACUGACGCUGAGGUGCGAAAGCGUGGGUAGCAAACAGGAUUAGAUACCCGGUAGUC